CUUGAACUUAUAUUCAUAGUUCAUUGUUCAAUGGUAAGUUAUUGUGAUUUGGUCUGUUUUUUUUAAUUACUAUUAACAAUAGAUUAAUUUUUUAGUGCAUACAAAAAAGGUAAGGUGUAAAUGUCUGUCUGAAAGGAUUUAUCUCGGUGACCUUGACCUCAUUGUCAUAGAUCUUUAAAAAUGUUAAGUUUUUGUGAUGCUUUUAGUAAAACUUUUAUCUUGAAGACUUUUCAACACAAAAUCAUUGGUCAGUAAAGCAGGUGAGACAUUUCAGCGUGUGCCCUCUUGGUAAUUUACGAAAGAAAAAUGUAUUUUUUCAUCUUUAUUUAAACUUGCUCAAGUCGUACCAAUGUAUAAGACCAAAGGUUCAAAACAGGAUAUUUUUAAAUACAGACCAAUUGCAAUUUUACCACUCAUUAUUAAAACCAUGAAAAACGUGUGAAAACACACUUUGUGUAUUAUCUUAAUAAUUACAACUUAUUUUAUCGAAUGCAGUCAGGUUUGAACUUUUCGCGCCAACUGUUCUUGUCAGGUUGCGUUAACAGCUUUCUUGCAUGGAUAAAGAGAAUGCAGUCAGGAUUCUACUUCGUCAGAAUUAUCUCCCCAUUACGCCAGUUCAUUUUCACAAUCGUAGAAAUGGAAGCCAUUGUAGGGAUGACGCGCUACCAAUUUUGCUCAUGGAAACCGAUAAAUUUAUCCACAUUGCACCAUUACGAUCCUUAUAUGUCAGUUGUAUUUUAAAAGACAAAUGUAUCAACUAGCUAAUGCGCAUCAGUUAAUGAUCUUUUCUGCAUUGAUUCAACUUAAAACUAUUGUCUGAUCGGUGGUCAGGUGGAAUUUUCGAAAAUUCAUAAACAUUUGAAAAAAAUUCUAAUUA
rnacentral:lncRNA from 1 species